UUAUAUGCAUGAAAAUCCAUCUAAACAAUGCCCACUAGAAGGUACUUCAAUCUAGAUAAGAUCAUACAUCUAAGAGGAGCGUUUAAUCACCAAAAAGCCCUGACACAGGGUGAGCAAAUUUGUCUAUUGAGGAAAGGAAUGGGUUAAUUUAAAAAUCAUCUUGGCCCAGGGAUGGAAGGGGGGUAUUGCUCUGCGUUCAAGGUCCAGAAUCAAAGCAGACUAUGCUAAGUACAAAGAAAAACUGCUUUCGGCUCCAGCUGGCUGUGAAGGAAAAAAUAUAGACAGAGACGAACCAAAGGCAAUACAAGUUACAGAACUAAGAUUACAUUUGCAAAGCUUAACUGUCCAGUAAGAUCCAACAGUGUGCCUUUGCGACCCCGGAGCCGGUGUGGCUUGGUGACACUGAAGAAGCCGCAGGCAGCUGACCUGGACUGGAAUCUCUGAAAGAGACGCUGCAGAAGAUUCCAGAGUGCAAGAGAACAGCCCUCCAAAGAGCGGAAGCAUGUUAGAAAUUCUGGACAAGCUGUAUACGGGAUAAUCUCCAGUCCACCUCUCCCCCCUUCUCUGAACAUUAUACACAGAAGUGGCCAGUCUGGACGAGUGUGGGCGGAACUGAACCUCUCGUUCGUAAUUCCUCGGAGUGGAAGCCAUGCGUGCGAGGAAGCUCUGAGGUCGAAUUGAGAUCCUUCUGUCCUGUCCCCUGUAGCGGUCAGUAUAUAGAAGUGGGAAAGUCUGGCUUAGACUGUAAUUCCCUCUGCUCUCUGUGUAAUUCUCUUUUCUGUUUAAGUGUCAAACAGAUGAAUGAGUCUCUGGGUAAACCCUCUAAGAAUAGUCCUUUAAAUUAUAUGUUAAGUAAAUGGCCUUUGCCCAAUGGGCCAUGUGUUUUUGUCCAGGUGGCAAGCCUCAUGAAGGAGGACUCAGGUAAUCUUGUGAGUAAGAAUGUUUAAGGGAAGAGACCAGGAGGGGUGGGGGCUAGAUGAGAAGCCCACCCUCCUAGCUAAACUGGUAGUGGAACAAGUUGGUGCCCAUGGAAGGGACGGUUCAGCAAGAAAAGCAGGAUCGGGCCCAGGCAGGCAGGCAACAGAGAGAGAGAGAGAGAGAGAUUGGAAAGCAGGUUGGAAAACUUUAAGGGUGUAGUGGAAGGAAGGAGUCAGUAAGUGUAAGCAUGGAGAUUUCAAAUACCCAGGACUUACUUGGAAUGGUGAUUUAAGUUGAUAAAAGUGGCUGUUGGGAGACAAGCAAGUGAUUUAAGGGAGAGUGAGAAGUUAACUCUGUAGCUGCUGAACAAAACAGCAGUUGAACUUUGUAAAAAUGCUAAAGAGAAAAAAAGUUUUUGGUGUCUGUGAAAUGUUUGUAAAUAAAUUCAGGCAAAGAAGUUAUUGGAUUGCAAUCAUUUGGUUUGGCUAUGAACAAUUUAGUUGAAUUAGCUGAAGAAUGUAUACAGUGUCAUGUAAUUCAAAACCUGGGCUGCCUAUGAAACAAAUACAAGAAACUAUGGGGUAAUUCCUCUGUUUUGCCUGAAGCCAACAAGAGUAUUUGUAUAUUUCAAGCGAUGAUUGUCUGCCCAGAAGGGGUGGGUAGACCUCUCUUUUUUUGUCUUUCAGAUAAUCAGAGAAAACUGAUGCCAGCUGAACAGCAUUCAGCGUACCAUGCAUUUACUGGCACAAUAGGAAUCAUGUUUUGUGUUCUAUGUUCUGUCCUGUGGUGUUUGUCUUGUGGCCGGAAUUUUUGUGUUUAAUAUUUUUAUAAAAUAGUCUAGUUUAAAAUCAAACAAAAAGGUUAAAUUAAAAUGCAGAUAUUUGUUUUGUUCAACUUGGAAUACAAAGUGUUUGGAUAAAUCAGGAGAAUGUGAUAUAUUAAAGUCUAAUGCAUUUCCUCAAGAAAAAGAAAUUUCAUUGGCCAAACUGUUAAUUGCAAAAAUUGUUGUUAAAAUUUGCAUACCAACAGUCUUUGAAAGCAAAGACAUGAAAAGUUAACCCACUCCCCAUAUUGUACAUGGGAUCUUUCUGGCUACCUCAGAUUUCUAGCCAGAGGGCUGGGGAUGGUGCAAGGCUAUUGGACUAGAGGUUGUAUUGAGUUAACUCCUCAAAGUGGGUGUGCUUGUCCUGGCUUGUUGCUCCAAAGCUCUGUAAUAAGGUUAUUUUAGUAAAAGGGUGUGUGUGGCAUAUAUUAAAUAAUAAGACUAAUGUACUGUAUAAUGACAAUGUUUAUGUCUUCAUUGUUGGGAAGAAGGUGUAUAAGUAAAAAGUGGAAGUUUCCUUUGCAGGUUAAAAGAAGCCAAGAAGGGAAGAAGGAUAAAGAACAGAAUGAAUUAACUGAAAAAAAAUAAAAUAAAAUAGCAAGCUCAGGCUAUAGAUAAGACACUGACUCCAUUCAAGAACACUGCUCACAGUUAAGACUUGGCUAACAACCAGGAAAAGGAGGGCUUGAAUUUGCUCACGCAACUAUGAGAUUUGCAAAACAUUGCCAGGCACUAAUAAAAUGUGUUAAGUUUCUUUUCUCACAGGUAAAGAAGGGCUACCCAAGGACCCUAGCAGCCCUGCCACUCUUUGGAACCAGGAGACGGGAUUGAUGUAAAGGUCCACCGACGAAAGUCUGCUCUGGCUCCACCCUGGAAAGGCCCUUAAGUCCCGGUGACUACCAACAUCACUGUAAAAUGUCAAAGACUGACUGCAUGGACCCAAGAUUCUCACUGCAAAAAGACCCCUCCACAUCGGGAGAAUUCUCCUACUGAUGAUUAGCCUAUUUCACCUUCUAGCUCCACUGUGCCUUCUGGACAGUAGGGAAAAAGUACAAGGAUGCUGCACCACGACUGUUUUGGGAAAGAAGAAGGAACACUCGCUCCACUGAAAUUGCCAAAGUCCAGGAAUUCCUGACUAGAAAGGACAUUAAGAACUGACCCUGGUGAAGAAACAAAGAAUUAUACACUGGUGGGAGGACAUUUGUGGGACCCAUGUUUGGGAAUGUGGUAUUAAUUGGAUUUUGGGGUUUAUUCUACAGGCUGCACCCUGUGUUUUGGAUAAAUCCUUCAGCAUAUAUA